CAGUCGCCACGGGAAUACGGAGGGUGCAAGCGUUAAUCGGAAUUACUGGGCGUAAAGCGCACGCAGGCGGUUUGUUAAGUCAGAUGUGAAAUCCCCGGGCUCAACCUGGGAACUGCAUUUGAAACUGGCAAGCUAGAGUCUCGUAGAGGGGGGUAGAAUUCCAGGUGUAGCGGUGAAAUGCGUAGAGAUCUGGAGGAAUACCGGUGGCGAAGGCGGCCCCCUGGACAAAGACUGACGCUCAGGUGCGAAAGCGUGGGGAGCAAACAGGAUUAGAUACCCCAGUAGUCCCUGUCUCUUAUAA
rnacentral:rRNA from 1 species